rnacentral:rRNA from 1 species
UACAGGGGGGGCAAGCGUUGUUCGGAAUUACUGGGCGUAAAGGGUCUGUAGGUGGCCAACUAAGUCAGACGUGAAAUCCCUCAGCUUAACUGGGGAACUGCGUCUGAUACUGGAUGGCUUGAGUGUGGGAGAGGAAUGCGGAAUUCCAGGUGUAGCGGUGAAAUGCGUAGAUAUUGGGAAGAACACCAGCGGCGAAAGCGGGCUUCUGGGCUGUUACUGACGCUGAGGUACGAAAGCGUGGGGAGCAAACGGG